rnacentral:rRNA from 1 species
AGUUCGGAUUGUAGGCUGAAACUCGCCUACAUGAAGCUGGAGUUGCUAGUAAUCGCGAAUCAGCAUGUCGCGGUGAAUACGUUCCCGGGCCUUGUACACACCGCCCGUCACACCAUGAGAGUUGGCAAUACCAACGUACGUGAUCUAACCCGCAAGGGAGGAAGCGUCCUAAGGUAGGGUCAGCGAUUGGGGUGAAGUCGUAACAAGGUAUC